GACGAACGCUGGCGGCGUGCUUAACACAUGCAAGUCGAACGGAAAGGCCCUGCUUUUGUGGGGUGCUCGAGUGGCGAACGGGUGAGUAACACGUGAGUAACCUGCCCUUGACUUUGGGAUAACUUCAGGAAACUGGGGCUAAUACCGGAUAGGAGCUCCUGCUGCAUGGUGGGGGUUGGAAAGUUUCGGCGGUUGGGGAUGGACUCGCGGCUUAUCAGCUUGUUGGUGGGGUAGUGGCUUACCAAGGCUUUGACGGGUAGCCGGCCUGAGAGGGUGACCGGCAACAUUGGGACUGAGAUACUGCCCAGACUCCUACGGGAGGCAGCAGUGGGGAAUAUUGCACAAUGGGCGGAAGCCUGAUGCAGCAACGCCGCGUGCGGGAUGACGGCCUUCGGGUUGUAAACCGCUUUCGCCUGUGACGAAGCGUGAGUGACGGUAAUGGGUAAAGAAGCACCGGCUAACUACGUG
rnacentral:rRNA from 1 species